UUUCCGUAGGUGAACCUGCGGAAGGAUCAUUAUAAAUGAAAAACGAAUAACUUCCGGGAAGAAGGGAACCUGCACGGUGACCUCCCCUGUCGGGCCACCCAAUACCUUCAAAAUGCCGCCGUCCUAGCGGUGGCAGACGAAAAAAAAAACAAGAAAAACAAAACAGAAACAGGCACGGUGGCCCGUUCACCUUCACACAACCCUCCGAGUACCGCUUCCAUGUUGCUUCCCCGCAAAUCCACCUCUUUGGUGAGCGCGGGGGAGGUCCGCAUCAAAUUCACCUGAAUGUCACAGCAGUCAGACAGCCAUUCAUGGAAACAAUAAAACUUUCAACAACGGAUCUCUUGGUUCCC
rnacentral:misc_RNA from 1 species